GUCUCUAUAGUAUAACGGUUAGUAUGCUCGCUUGUGGCGCGAUCGAUAUCGGUUCGAUUCCGAUUAGGGACA